UGGGGAAUCUUGGACAAUGGGGGCAACCCUGAUCCAGCCAUGCCGCGUGAGUGAUGAAGGGCCUUAGGGUCGUAAAGCUCUUUCGCCUGUGAAGAUAAUGACGGUAGCAGGUAAAGAAACCCCGGCUAACUCCGUGCCAGCAGCCGCGGUAAUACGGAGGGGGUUAGCGUUGUUCGGAAUUACUGGGCGUAAAGCGCACGUAGGCGGACCAGAAAGUUGGGGGUGAAAUCCCGGGGGCUCAACCCCGGAACUGCCUCCAAAACUAUUGGUCUAGAGUUCGAGAGAGGUGAGUGGAAUUCCAAGUGUAGAGGUGAAAUUCGUAGAUAUUUGGAGGAACACCAGUGGCGAAGGCGGCUCACUGGCUCGAUACUGACGCUGAGGUGCGAAAGUGUGGGGAGCAAACAGGAUUAGAUACCCUGGGUAGUCCACACCGUAAAACGAUGAAUGCCAGUCGUCGGGUAGCAUGCUAUUC
rnacentral:rRNA from 1 species